GCCUUAUUAUAAAUAUAUAAGGUGUAACCUGCCCAAUGAUUUCCAAUCAAAUAAUAAUAAAAAUAUUUUAAGGAAGUUAAAAGGACGCGGUAACCUUGACCGUGAUAAUGUAGCAUAAUCACUCGCCAUUUAAUUGAUGGAUAGUAUGAAUGGUUGAACGAAUAUUUCACUGUCUUAAAAAGAAAAACCAGAAAUUAAAAUAAUAGUAAAGAUGCUAUUUUAAAUUGUAAGACGAAAAGACCCUAUAGAGCUUAACUAUAUUAUUUUUCAAAAAAGGAAUUAAAAAUAAAUCCAAAGAAAAAUAAAGGUAGUUUAGUUGGGGCGACUAGUUUUCUAAAUAAAACGAAAACAAACAAAAAUUAUUAUAAAUAAAAUUUACUGUAUAAUUUAUAAAUUUAACAGUUACUAAAGUAGGUUAAAAUGACCCGCUAAAACAAAGAAAAAUUCAUUAGCGAUAAAUAAAUAAAAGCUACCUUAGGGAUAACAGGAUAAUUUCAUUUUAGAGAUCUUAUCGAAAAUGAAGUUUGUCACCUCUAUGUUGAAUUAAGAUAUCCUGAUAAUGCAGAAGUUAUCAAAGGUAGGUCUGUUCGACCUUUAAAAUCUU
rnacentral:rRNA from 1 species